AUAAAUCAUCAUUUAUCUUUUAUAGUAAACAAAAAAGGGUAAAUUUCCGUAAUUUUAGUAAUUUCCAAAUUAAAAUACCCACGAAAAACUAAACUGAUUUUGUCUAAUUAAUAUCAACUUUUGUUGAAUAGGUAAUUUACAAAUUUGGCGACCUCUAGCAAGAACAUUUGGAUAAUAAGUCGACUACUGCCAUAACGUAACGUUUAGAAAAUUUUACUGUUAUCAAGAAUCACACAUAUACUGUUAUCAAGAAUCACACAUAUAUCCGACAAAUUGAUUUAUAAAACCAAAACUUUCAACUGAAAUAUUUAAAAUAAGGGCAAAAAACUUAACUUUGUGUCUUCUUUAAAUAUCGUAUCAUUUGCGUAUCUAUUUCUGAUUAAUUGAAAACAUGCCAUUAAAAUUUACCGCUGGUUAUGUUAUUAUCUAUUCUUUUAUGUUAGUGUUAGUACACGGUGACGGUGGAGGUACUCCUAAUGACCUACCUAUCGCUAAUAACCCUAACCCGCCACCUGAUAAUGCACCCCCAGCUGAUUGCCCCCCACCUUGUAAGAGAGACUUUCUUUGGAUCCAAAAUGUGUGUAAAAGAGGUGUACGUGAAUAUAGUCCCACUGUAUAUAAUUGUUUUUGUUGUAAGUGACGAUUUCAAUUAUUAAAGGCCCAAUUGCCAUUUAUUAUGCAAAUUCAAUAGUAAUGUUAAGUAUUCCAAAAGAUCUUUCCAUAAUUUAUUCUUAUAAAGAAGCACACUCACAAAUUGAGGCACUGCAAACAAUUAAAUUAAUUUACACCUACUCACUACAAAAUAAAUUGGGAUGACAUAAAGUGCAUAUAUCCUAAUAAUUAUAUAGUAUAAUAACUUUGCUGUGUUAACUAUAUAAUAACGUUAUUUUUGCAUAUUUAAAAAAUAAAACAUUAAAUGUCAACUUUUGUCCGUACAGUAUUUUUGUAAUACAUUUAUCAUAAGUGAUAAAAUAAAAUAGUUUUUAAAUACAGUUUAUUUGUUGUAUUGAUUUCAUGAGACAUUACUUACACAUCAUAUUACCUAUGAAGUUCCUGCGGACCGUAGUUAUUGCUUUGUGAUAUUGAAAACCACAACUCCAAUAUUAAGACAAAACAAUUACUUUCAUUGCAUUUUUUUAAAAUAAAAUACGUUCUUUAUAUUUAACAUAAUACGAGUCGUAGGGAAAUUAAUUUAAAUUAAAAAAAACUUAUUUUAAACGGUAAUUCUUUUAGAAAUGUUUACGUAAAGAACAAAAUAUGUUCCUUAAUAUAGUGUAAUUCUUAAACAAAUCAUUGUUGUGAAAUCAUUAUAUUCGACUGAACAUGACUUAGACUUCGAUUGUUCGUCAGCGAUGGUAACCAUCAAUUUUUUGGCAGGGAUUUGACUAUAAUGAAAAUUAAUUUUAAUAAUAUAAUAAUAUUAUUAACUAAAGUAUUUUAAUUACUUAUUACAAAUAGUAAUAACAAUUACUACCUCCUAAUUAUANUAUCAUACGUAAAUAUUUUGUACAACAAUAUUAUGUUAUCAUAAGUCUUUAUUAAUAAAGCAUAAUUUAUAAUUUAUAGUAAACAAAAAAAGUGAAAAUUUCCAUAAUUUUAGUAAUUUUCCAUUUAAAAUAAACACGAAAAAACAUUUAUUGAUCCUGUAUCGAGUAGGCAGUGAACCUAGCGGUAAUUUUAACUGCAGUAAUUUUUUCAAAUAAUUUAUCUUAGACCGUCAUGUGAAAGUGAUAAACCAUAAUAAGUUGUAUAAUGGUAUAAACAUUAUAAUACUACAUUCAAGUUAGGAUUAAAGUGUUUCAAUGAUUUUAAUGAUUUCAGUAGUACAAUAUUUUAUAUUUAAACAUUUAAUAACUUUAAAUUUUAUUUUAAUAUAACUGAUUUUGUCUGAUUCAAAUCAAAUUUUGUUGAAUACGUAAUUUACAAACUUGGCAAUCUAAACCUCUAGCAAGAACAUUUGACUUAUCAGUCGACUACUACUAUAACGUAACGUGUAGCAAUUAUUACUGUCAACUGGAAUCAUACCUAUAUACUAAAUAUAAAUUGUUAAGACCCUAACGUUUAACCGAAAUAUAUUAAAAUCAAAGCAUAAAAUAAAUUUUGUGUCUCCUAAGAAUAUCUUAUUAUCCGCGUAUCUAUUUCGGUUUAUUGCAAAUAUGCUGUUAAAAUUUAUCGUUUCGUAUGUUAUUAUUUAUUCUUUUAUGUUAGUGUCAGUACACGGUGAUGGUGAGUUUGGUCCUGAUUUGCCACAACAAGAGCUCCUUUCAAAUCCAUAUUCCUCUGAUGGCCCUGGCAAUCCACCUGUUCCCAAUCACCAUGGCAUUCCUUCUAACAAUAAUCACAAUACCAAUUAACCUGGUUAAUUGAGCCACUUCUAACUAUUUAAUUGUUUACACCUUCUAACCACUAGAAUAUUGGGAUGCCAUUAAUUGCAUAUGCUAUAAAAAUAAUAUAUUAUAAAAAACCUGCUUUGUUAAUUAUAUAAUAACUUUAUUUUAGAUUUAAAAUAACAUAAAAGUCAAUAUUUGUCCGUACAGUCAUUGUGUAAUACAUUUUGCAUUAUUGUUGAAAUAAAAUAAUUUUUAAUUUCUGUUUGAUUGUUAUAUUGAUUACUUGGGUCUUCAUAUUAACUAUGAAGAUCCUGCGAGACAUUAGUUAUUGGUUCCUGAUAUUGAAAACCACAACUCCAAUAUUAAGACAAAACUAUUACUUAAGAUUGUCUUUUUUUUAAAAAUAAAAUACCUUUUUUUCAUGAAAACGUUAUAUGAGUUUUAGGUAAAUGAAACAAAUUAAAAAUACGUAUUUUAAACGUUAAGUAUUUUGCAAACGUGUGUGUAAAGAUCAAAAUAUGGUCUUUAAAAUAAUUUAAUGUUUAUAUAAAUAAUAUAGCAAAAUAGUUGCAUAUGCAUUAAACAUUUUCUUUAAAAAUAUUUGUUCAAAUUUGUAUCUAUUUUCCCGUUAUCCUGAUUUUGACAUAUUUAAUAUUUUGGGAGGGAUUUGACUAAAAUAAAAAUUUUUUUUAUAAUAAAAUAAUAUUAAAAUAAAUGUAAUUUGUUAUUAAUUAUUACAAAUAGUAAUAACAAUUAAUACCUCCUAAUUAUAGUCAUAUCAACACAUCAAAUUGUACAAGUAAUAAUCGGCACAUAAUAGCUAUGUUGGCACCUAUAUUAUAUUAUUCAUGACUAAUAUUAUACGUAAAUAUUUUGUACAGCAAUAUUAUGUUAUUAUAUUUCUUUAUAAAUAAAGCAUAAUUUAUAAUUUAUAGUAAACAAAAAGAGUGAAAAUUUCCAUAAUUUUCACACAAACACAAAAAAACAUUUUUUGAUCCUGUAUCUAAUAGGCAGUUAUGUUAUUAUCUAUUCUUUUAUGUCAGUGUUAGUACACGGUGAUGUUGGAGGUGCUCCUGAUAAGCCACCUAUCGCUAAUAACUCUAAAAAUCCACCUGGUAAAACACCCCCAGAUGAUUGCCCCCCACCUUUUCGGAGAGAUUAAAAAUGGGCCGAAACUGUGUGUAAAAAAGGUGUACGUGAAUAUAGUCCCACUGUAUAUGAUUGUUUUUGUUGUAUGUGACGAUUUCAAUUAUUAAAGGCCCAAUUGCCAAUUAUUAUGCAAAUUCAAUAAUAAUGUUAAGUAUUCCAAAAGAUCUUUCCAUAAUUUAUUCUUAUAAAGAAGCACACUCACAAAUUGAGGCACUGCAAAAAAUUAAAUUAAUUUACACCUAUUCAACACAAAAUAAAUUGGGAUGACAUAAAGUGCAUAUAUCCUAAUAAUUAUAUAGUAUAAUAACUUUGCUGUGUUAACUAUAUAAUAACGUUAUUAUUGCAUAUUUAAGAAAUAAAGCAUUAAAAUUCAACUU